rnacentral:lncRNA from 1 species
CAAAGACCUCUGCUGUAGCAGUGGGGCCGGUGGUUCUACAAGUAGAAGUGGAUGGUGCGGCAAUGAGCUAGGGGUGGUCGCGGAGAUCUAGAUAGGGGGGAGUGUGAUGAGGACAUCACACUUUUGGAUACAACCAUUGAUUAUAAGGUGAGCUCAUUCCUAAAUUUUCAUAACGUUAAAACUAAAACUUUGUCGGUAUCUAUUGGUAUUUGAAAUGUGUGUAGGAACAAUGGUGAUGAUGAUAGAAAAUGGAUGUGACAUGAACAAGACCAAUCUCAAAGUGCAAGUCCAUCAAAGCGCAACUUUUAGUUUCGUUGUGUCUCGACUAUACUUUAUUGGAAAGGCCAUAACUUCAUGCGGAGUGAGUUUGAGAUCCAUGAGCACUAGAUGGAAAUCUUAUUACAUAAGAUUUUAAAUGGAUCUGUUUUGACAUCAAGGUCACUUUAGCAAGGCCCCCAAACUAUGCUGACAAGUUCCCACUAUUUCUAUCAAGAGUUGCGUCGUUGUCGUGGGCCCGAUAGCCCAAGUUGGACAACGUCUAAGGGCUUUCAUAGUGUAACACCCAAAAAGUUGGAUUUCGAUUAAUAGGAAUUAAUUUGAUGCAAUUAAGUAUUUGGUGAGCAUUUAAUGUAGUAAAUAAAUAAAUUUUGAUGAAAUUAAAAUUUAUCAUAAGAUUAAAAACUAUAUAUGCAUUUAUGCUGGAGCAUAGUUAUUUUUGUGCCGCUGACAUUUGUUUGGAACUUAAUUGCUUUCAAAAUUCUAUUUAGAAAAAGGUUUUGAAAAAGGAAAAAAAAGAAAAGAAAAAAAGAGAGAUGGCUUACCUGUUCUCGGCUGGGCCAGAAGCCGAGGCCCAAGCCUCCCAACCGCAGCCCAACACACAUACCCCCCCUCCCGCGCGGCCUAGUUCUCCAACUGGCCCAACCACGCACCUCUCCCCUCCCCCUUUAUCCCAUCGGCCGACAGGUAGGCCCCGCCUAUCCCUCUCUCUGACCGCGUGGGCUGUUGACUUUCGUUAAGGGCAAUAAGAAUAAGAAAAAUUCCGCAAGCGCACAGAACAUCAACGUAGCAUUUUACUGGGAGUAUUCCAGGUAUUGUUAUUUAUAUUUUACCGCUGGGAAGCUAAGGUCAAAGAAUCUGAUAACUUACUAUCAUGCAUCUACUAAUUUAAUAAACCAACUAGACUAAAGUAGGGGGUAAAUGAUAUAUGAUAGAUAAUAAUAUAAAGGUGAGAAUUCUAUGAUAAAUGCGUAGAUAGCCAUAGCGGAAGGACAACGAGAGAGACCUAGGUUCCUGUAUACUUCUCUAUUACUUCAGUUCUAUGAUAACAAAGAAUGAAUAGAUAUAGCAAUCACAUAUUAGCACUUUGGGACAUGAGAACACCAACCACAGAAAGAGAACUGGAAGGGGGGCUGGGAAGCUCUAACUACGGUCCUACAAACACCGAUCCGAACGAGGUGGAAUACGUCGAUCGUUAGGGCUGUCACUACCCUAGGGCUACCACAACAAUCCGCAGGACUCGGUGCAACCUCAGGUAACCUCUAGUAUAGACACCACGUCUACACUAACGAUUACUACUCUAAUUACCAUUAAUAACUAUCGCACUCGAUGCUAACGGAGAUCCUAUGCCAAAAUAUAAUAACUACACUACUCGAUAAUAGUAAAGGCAUAAAAGUAAAUAGAGAAGAUAAAUAUAUUAAAGCAUAAGUCUUACAAUAAAUAUAAAGACAUACCAAAACUCUGAAGACUUCUCCAGAACCGAAGCACAGCUCCGCUCUCCCUAACUCCCGACUAGAACUAAUCUACUACAUUGGAAUGUCUAGCCCUAAUUCUCUAUAGAGGAAAGGUUAUCCUUCGUGGGCACUUUCAACUCUAUAAUGAUGUGUUCUUCUCCAAGGGUCAGGGGCCUUGCUUAUAUAGCCUCCUCCUUUGUGCCUUUUUGGUUCAGCAGGUGAUGUGGUACUAAACUUUCCACCAUAUCUCAUUAAAAUGCACAUAGGUCUUAAUGGAAAAAAAUCUGAUUUGGGCCCAAUUAAUCCGCAGCUCUUUUAUGUGGAGUCAUUCUUUUAUUAAUAUCUCUUGAUUCUGAACUCCAAAUAUAGAAAAUAAUAUAUGCUUUUCGAUCAGCUCGACGAGAUCUUUGUAAUGGUGUACCCAUUCUGUGAUUGGUGCUUGUACCAAGGCGGGUGCCCUAGGAUCAAGGGCGGGUGCCCUAGCCCUGGGCCCGUCUCGGCUCCACUUCGGUCGAGUUGCUUCUAGAGUCUUCAUGAUUAUGGAAAAUUACUGCACACAUUAAUUCUCUAUGUAAACCCGACGUGUGGGCCUUUCCUUCAUAUUUCCUGAUAACCCACUGCAGAAAUAGACAAACACCAAAACUCGUGGAAAUCUGUCAGAUGAAACCCUAAGUCUAUGUGUCGGUUGCAUUUGGAUCCUUUUUCAUGAUUAGUUGACGGUUAAAUGUGAGCAUUAAGGACCGUCAACAAGCUCCCCCAAGCUUACCCUUUGCUCAUCCCUGAGCAAUGAUGGACUCAAGAGUUUCUGCAGUGGUUUCAUGCCUUAAAGGUACACAUGCGUUCAAACAAUAUCUCAUCUCUGGGUUAGGGUAAACUGUUAAGAUUUAAACUUACUCAUUUUACCUUCCACCAUGGGUCUUGCAACCGUCACUUAUGUCUUGAGUAGUUAAAAGAUAGAACAGUCUAGUCAAGCGCCAUGUCUCUUGUUCUUCGAUUAACUAUAGCUCUGGAGUUUUUGCCGAUUUUCAAAUAAAACUCAGAGAUUCCUUGUAUGACUCUCUCUAGUCUCUCUUUUGUGGUAUUUCUAGAUCCUUACCAAAGUAGUAAUGGUGUAUGCCUUCUCUCAAAGCAUGUGGUAUUGCCUUCUCUCUCACCCUACUCUAAUAAGGUUUUGAUAUCAGGAGCUCAUAGGUGGGAGACAGCUAAUACAUACUUAUAAGACACUUAUUGCAUAGUCAAACCAUGGAUCCAGAAGAACAAGUCAAUAAUUGAAAUCAAGAUGUGCAUGUGUGGCGAAUGAAUGGUGAUAAUGGUGAAAAUAAUGGUGAAAGUCUAAUUCUACUUUUGCUCUUUUGAGGGGGUACAUACCUUUCUUGCACUUGAGGCUUUUGAGGGGAAUGAGACGCUCUAUAUUUUAUUUUUCUUUUCUCUCAGGUGGGUAUCUUGUACCCCUAAUUCUACUGUCGGACACUUGUCCAUUUUUACCUCUUGUCUCACUUUUUCUUUUUUUUUUCUUCUUUUUUUUCGAGGUUUCGGGCGCUUGCCCCUCCUGGAAUAAUGUAGCAUGUGGUAGUAACCAAAAUAUCUCCAGCAUUUAUUUCACGGAUAACGUUUUUGGCUAUUCUCUCCUAGAUACGAGUAAAAUAAUUUUGGGGUGAAUCUGGAUAUGGAAAUGAGUGGAUGUAUGUGGAUGCGUACUUCCGGAGUAGAAGUAGCAUACAUGAGUGAACGUGCAAGUGAAUCUAGAUUUUAACCGCGUGACAAGCUUCUAAGGGUCUACACAGCUUGACCACACUCAAUGCUCGUAAGCAGUAAAAAGUAAAUGUAUGGUUCAUAGUCUAAUAAGCAUGUAUAUAUAGCUGUGGUAGGAUUUUAAACUCUCAUCAUACAGGAACUCAUCAUGCAAUAUUUUAAAUAUUUUCAAAGAUAAAAUUCUCCAGAAUUCUAGUAUCUCUAGGAACAGAUAAACAGCAGCUCAACCUUCCCAUAUCAUAUCCGUUAACGACUUAGACUUUAGAUCAAGUAUUCUUCCCACAAAUUCAGGUUUAGAGCAAGCUUUAAAUUAUAACAGUUAUGCCUAAACUUGAGAGAGAGCUCAAAUUUGAAAACUAGGUACUUGGCAGAGAAACUAUUCAUCAUAUCCAUGUAAGAGUUUAUCAUUGAAGUUUAGUUUAGCAUAGACACUUUAUUUAGUUAUUUAGCAAACUAAGCAAAGAUAUAUAUAAGCACAAAAUGUUUAAUUGGGUUUUUAUGAUUAUGUAUUUUUUAUUAUUUGAGUAAAGUAUAAAUAUGAGUAGAAACACUUAGCUGGAUAAAUGGGGGCGCUUUCCCCCAAGCUAGAUUUUAACGUAAUUUCUUCUGAUGUAGCUAGCAGGUGGCGUAGGUGUAUUUGAAUGUUGGCAGCACCCUGAUAGCGAUUAGGAUAUCUUUCGUCUGCUAGUCUUCCUUGAUCCUUAAAUUCUGUGGAGCUCCAAUAGACAACAAAGCUUUGUGGAACUAGUUAAGUGUUAGCAUAAAAUCUCUUAGCCUUUAUCAUGUUGAGCUUUCUCUAAUAAAUAUUACUCUCUUUAGUAGGAUCAUAAAUUUAUUUUUAUAUUUUCAUUUUUACAAGACAAGAAUAUAUUUAUUUUAUUUUUACGCCACCACAGUGAAUGGGUUUUAUGCCACGAGCAUACUCACAUGGGGUUUACUGUUUUUAACAUUUUUUUUUCUUUUCAUGAUAGCAUGAUUAACUAACAAGCUAUUUAAGGAAAGUAAAUAAUUUAAGAAAAAAGGGAAUGUAGAAAGGAUAAAUAUGGAUAACUACCGAUUUUACCUGUCGGCGAGGGUUCAAUGUUUUAAGUCUUCUGAACAAGACUUCUCACCGUGUUCAUUCUUUAUGUGCGUCAUUUGAGUUAGGUGUGGACCUUGACAUCUGCACCUCUGGCUACGGUGUCACCCAUGUUUUUCGUUUGCCCAGCAGUUCGAAGUGCGACGUUGGCAGCAUCCUCCUCAGUGUGUUUGUGCUCGUAGAUCCAGGUCCUUCACUUGGUAGAGUCUGGGAGUUGGAAAACUCCUCCAUGUUUUGCUCGAAGUGUAUCCUGCUCAUAGAGACAACACAGAGAUCAAGUGUAUGGGCCCUGUUGGUAGAAAACACCAACAGAACCAAAAGUGUAUUUGUUCUUCUCUAACCUUAAGCUUAGGGGAGAAUUGGUUGUGGGACAUGCAGAAUGGUAGCCAUUUGCCAGCGGACACUAGGAAAAAUUAGAUUGCUCAAAGACACUCUGUUUCUUGUCAAAUUUGCUGGCGGACCCUGCGUCUAAUCAAACAUUAUUAUAAAAUAGAUAUAAAAUCAUAUAAGUGCUAGAAAAUUAUACUAUAAAUUUAUUUACACUCUAUAAGAUCUCUUUCUCAAUAUAUAUAUUUUUUUUUGGAUUUAAAUCUUUCUAUGAAGCAAAAAGGUAAUGGAACAGGAUGAAUGCAUUUAAUUUAUUUUUAUUUUUAUUUUAUUUUAUUCCACCACGGUGAAUAUCCGUGUGGGCUUUUACACACCACACAAUUUAUUCACAUAGGGUUUUAGUAUUUAACAUGCAAUGAGUUAUAUAAAAUAUUUUUAUUAUAUUUUCUAAUGCAAUAAUAAUGCAGAAAGAUAAAUAUGUUAUGGAGAAAUAAAUAUGCUAAAAACAAAUGCAGAAAAGAUAAAU